CACCGGAGCAUUACCUGAAAUGGCAACAAAUUGUUACCAUUAUCGGUCCGGAAAGCGUUAUCCUCCAUCCAGGACUUGGAGGAACACCCAUUUCUCUUCUCAACACUCCUUUAGGAUAUAAAUCUCACUUUCUGCAUAAAUUCACUCUGUCAAGGUCAAGACCCACCCUUAAUACAUAAGGCCGUUUUAACCAAAACGCUGAUAAUGUGACCGCUCAGGGCAAAAGCACUUUGACAACUGUAAGCAGAGAGGGCAUGCGCACACAGGGAACUGUGGGGGCUGAAGUCCUUCACAAGGUACUCUGCCUGACUUCACCACGUUCAGCCAGGAAAAGAGGAAGCUUCGUUAAUACGGAUUCCAAGGGGAAGAGGUUGUACCCGGAUUACAUUAUAUCCUCAUAACCAAUCAAAAUCACGAGUUGUUGAAAUGAAAAGGGGAGAAAAUAAACUGGUUUGUCAAGUUGAUUUGGGAAGUGAGGUUAAAAAAAAACUGGAUUGUAAGACUCAGAAUAAAU